rnacentral:tRNA from 1 species
CCCAUGGUGGUUCGGUGGUAGACUUCUUGGCUUCCAUGCAGGAGACCCAGGUUUGAUUCCUGGCCAAUGUA